rnacentral:misc_RNA from 1 species
UCCGGUUUGUCGCCGGCAGUCUCCCUAGAGUUCCCGGCGUUAUCCGCUGACAACUAGGGACAAGGGUUGCGCUCGUUGCGGGACUUAACCCAACAUCUCACGACACGAGCUGACGACAGCCAUGCUGCACCUGUCUCCAGGUUCCCGAAGGCACCCCCACAUCUCUGCGGGGUUCCUGGGAUGUCAAGACCAGGUAAGGUUCUUCGCGUUGCAUCGAAUUAAACCACAUGCUCCACCGCUUGUGCGGGUCCCCGUCAAUUCCUUUGAGUUUUAGCCUUGCGGCCGUACUCCCCAGGCGGGGCACUUAAUGCGUUAGCUUCGGCACAGGAGGAGUCGACACCUCCCACACCUAGUGCCCAUCGUUUACGGCGUGGACUAC